rnacentral:rRNA from 1 species
CACUUUCAGCGAGGAGGAAGGGGUUGAGUUUAAUACGCUCAAUCAUUGACGUUACUCGCAGAAGAAGCACCGGCUAACUCCGUGCCAGCAGCCGCGGUAAUACGGAGGGUGCAAGCGUUAAUCGGAAUUACUGGGCGUAAAGCGCACGCAGGCUGUUUGUUAAGUCAGAUGUGAAAUCCCCGCUCUUAACGUGGGAACUGCAUUUGAAACUGGCAAGCUAGAGUCUUGUAGAGGGGGGUAGAAUUCCAGG